AGAGUCAGGACGCCCGGGACCGGCUUAUAGAGCACCCGCCAUCUUUUUUUUUUUUUUGAGACGGAGUCUCGCUCUGUCUCCCAGGCUGGAGUGCAGUGGCGCGAUCUCGGCUCACUGCAAGCUCCGCCUCCCGGGAUCACGCAAUUCUGCCUCAGCCUCCCUAGUAGCUGGGACUACAGGCGCCCGCCAUCAUGCCUAGCUAAUUUUUUUGCAUUUUUAGUAGAGACGGGGUUUCACCGUGUUAGCCAGGAUGGUCUCGAUCUCCUGACCUCGUGAUCCGCCCGCCUCGGCCUCCCAACGUUCUGGGACUACAGGCAUGAGCCACCGCGCCCGGCGGAGCAGCUUCCAUCUUAUGGAUGGUGGGGACUAACGCCAAGCUGGGCAAGGAGAACUCAGGGCACAGAUUGUGGAGCUGACUGCGGGGAGCCCUGAGUCCCGCCACUGCCACUUCCCAUCAACCAGUCCCUCCCCUCUCUGGGGAUGUUGGACCGGUACUCUUACCAUUUCUAGACUUCUAGGGGGUCCUGGCUCUUGGCUGUGGAUCUCCCAAUACCUGCAGGUCAAAGGGCCUCAGAGGCUGGGCCUCUAUGAGCAGAGAACACAGAGCAGUGAACAAGAGAUCUGGAGCUCCAGCGGCAGCAAGAGACAAAGGCCGCGCCAUACCAGAAAGCCGUCCUCUUCGCUCCAGCUGCCUGCCUGAUUGGAGGGUUUCCAGACCAGCCUCCCUGAUUGGAUUAUGCUUAAGGCUCUGCCCCCUCAGUACCUGAGUGACAGAAGAUGUAAUCAGAUUCUGGGCUGAGUGAAGGAGUAACAGCCUAAGAUGCAGCCUUUCCAGACAGGGCUUCCUCCCUGAGCUGAGCCAGGCUCACCCCAGAGAAGGGAACAAUUCUGUAUCUUUUUUACUCUCUCUGUUUUUGAAUGUAUUCAAAAGGUACUGAGUAUAAAAC
rnacentral:lncRNA from 10 species